CCUACGGGUGGCAGCAGUGGGGAAUAUUGGGCAAUGGGCGCAAGCCUGACCCAGCAACGCCGCGUGAAGGAUGAAGGUUUUCGGAUUGUAAACUUCUGUCGCGAGGGACGAAGAAUGACGGUACCUCGUAAGAAAGCCCCGGCUAACUACGUGCCAGCAGCCGCGGUAAUACGUAGGGGGCAAGCGUUGUCCGGAAUGACUGGGCGUAAAGGGAGUGUAGGCGGCUCAUCAAGUUAGAUGUGAAAUCCCGCGGCUUAACCGCGGAACUGCAUCUAAAACUGGUAAGCUGGAGUGCAGGAGAGGUGAGUGGAAUUCCUAGUGUAGCGGUGAAAUGCGUAGAUAUCAGGAGGAACACCGGCGGCGAAGGCGGCCUGCUGGACCGCGACUGACGUUGAGGCUCGAAAGCGUGGGGAGCGAACAGGAUUAGAUACCCUUGUAGUC
rnacentral:rRNA from 1 species